ACUUCAUUGUUGCUGCUGAGUUUAGAAUGGUCAUCUUUUUCAGUACAACACUCAACUUACUGUUUUAAAGUGCUAAGCAACUGACAUGCUCUAGGGCUGCAACUGUUCUGUAUGUAGUUACUGGUAUCUGCCCUCACAGAAUGGUUCAUGAUUACAAAGAUUUAAAAAUCUAAUGUGUGUUCAUUUGUAUUAAAAACUAGUUAGGUUAAAGAUGCUUUAAAAAUACAAUCUUAUAAGUAUCCCAGAUGACUUACAGGGCUCAUUCCAACAAACACUGGAAAGUGAGAAAUUUGAUUGUCCAUGAGACAAAGUCUACUUGAAAAAGUGUAUGUCUUAUGAAGAAAAUAUUUUCUAAAAUUUCCUAUUUUGCCACAGGUAAAUCUCAAAAUAUGAAAAAGGGAAACUGUCAAUGGCCUUUUAUAUGUUUGUUACCUUAAGUAAUAUUUAAAAGAGGCAUAUUUUGAAAAUACACAAAAACUCCAAAACAUAAAGUUGGUAGUGCAUCCACCCUCACCCCAUGUCACAAAAGUGUGACUUUGAGGCCAUGGUACAGCAUCUGAUGGAAGUCUGUGGCAUACACUUGUUAUCUGUGGGGAAAAUAGAACUAUUUGCUGAAGAUAUGUGGCAAAAGUAUACAAACAUAUGGCUUUGGUUUACAUUCAACAUUGCCAGUUGUAGAAGUUUCUGGGUAGACUCUACAAUAGUGAUGGCAACUUGAAAUCAGAAAAACACUAUAGCUAAAGACUUGACUAUAAAGUAUUUCCUCUUGAUGCUGAAAUUCGUUGGGAUUCUAGAAAAUUGCCUUUGCAAAUUAUUUCUCCGGUGAGUAAUGUGCACUAAUGUGGUCCUUGGAUAGAACUAUUGCCCUGAGUCUAGUCUAAUAAACUGUACUGUCUGAUAGCAGGUGCGUCUACUUCCUCCUGCAGGUUUGCUGUUGGUUGGAGAAUUAAAAAGAGCUAAGAGAGAAAAAGCCACUCAUAUCUCUAAACUAGACAUGCUCUUCAACCCCCAGCCUUCUAUAUAGAAUCAAAGAUCAUACAAUAAUACAUAUGCAGAUGUGAAGAACUACAAUUAAGAAUUGGAAGCCUUAAAUAAGUGUGAAAGUGUGAAUUAGAAAAAAACACUUAUACUUAUGUCACCAUAGGAUGCUAUGAGAAAGAAUUUUGUUACAUUCCUAAAAGGUUGACACUGAAAGAUUCUGUUUGUCUUGAGCAAUCAAUAAAUGCAUUAGAAUUAUAGAAUAAAAAAGAAGGUAAGAAUAGAGAAAAGUAGACAAAUAGUCUAGCCCUUCAUCUCUCACCACAAGUCAGCACUUCAUUUAAUAUAACAACUCAUUUCUUCACAACUUUCCUUCUAUAAAGUAUACAUCUAGGCCACCAUUUUAUACUAACCCACAGGUACGUUUAGAACAGACUAGCAUCAUUCAAAGAAAAGACAAUCAAUACUGAGCUCUUUGUCCUCAAGCUAGACAGAUUUAUUCUGAUAAACUGGCAUUAUCUAGUCAUUUCAUUUUUUUGAGUUCCAGGACUUUUCAAGUUUCCUAGGUUUCUCUUUUUUAUUUUUCUAAAUUUCACUUCUGGCAAGGAUGUAUCCACCAAGGAUACACAGCAUCUUAGAGAGAGGAGCAAGGACCGUCUUACACAGCAUAGCAGCCUCUCCAUUUUGCAACAAAUUUCUAGGGAUUGAAAGGACCUGUUGUGAGCUGGGGCUAUAGGUAAGAAAAAAGGCAUAUGCCUGGCAAAUGCAAGGCCUUGAGUUCAAUCCCUACUACCACUGU
rnacentral:lncRNA from 1 species